CCUACGGGAGGCUGCAGUGAGGAAUAUUGGUCAAUGGACGCAAGUCUGAACCAGCCAUGCCGCGUGCAGGAUGACGGCUCUAUGAGUUGUAAACUGCUCUUGUACGAGGAUAAACGCAGAUUCGUGUACCUGUCUGAAAGUUUCCUACGAAUAAGCAUCCGCUAACUUCGUGCGAGCAGCCGCGGUAAUAAGGAGGAUUCAAGGGUUAUCCGGAUUUAUUGGGUUUAAAGGGUGCGUAGGCGGUCGGAUAAGUUAGAGGUGAAAUCCCGUGGCUCAACUUCGGAAUUGCCUCUGAUACUGUACGGCUAGAGAGUAGAUGCGGUAGGCGGAAUGUAUGGUGUAGCGGUGAAAUGCUUAGAUAUCAUGCAGAACACCGAUUGCGAAGGCAGCUUACCGGGCUACUUCUGACGUUGAGGCUCGAAAGCGUGGGGAGCAAACAGGAUUAGAUACCCCAGUAGUC
rnacentral:rRNA from 1 species